rnacentral:rRNA from 1 species
AUUGAACGCUGGCGGCAGGCCUAACACAUGCAAGUCGAACGGUAACAGGAAACAGCUUGCUGUUUCGCUGACGAGUGGCGGACGGGUGAGUAAUGUCUGGGAAACUGCCUGAUGGAGGGGGAUAACUACUGGAAACGGUAGCUAAUACCGCAUAACGUCGCAAGACCAAAGAGGGGGACCUUCGGGCCUCUUGCCAUCGGAUGUGCCCAGAUGGGAUUAGCUAGUAGGUGGGGUAACGGCUCACCUAGGCGACGAUCCCUAGCUGGUCUGGGAGGAUGACCAGCCACACGGGAACUGAGACACGGUCCAGACUCCUACGGGAGGCAGCAGUGGGGAAUAUUGCACAAUGGGCGCAAGCCUGAUGCAGCCAUGCCGCGUGUAUGAAGAAGGCCUUCGGGUUGUAAAGUACUUUCAGCGGGGAGGAAGGGAGUAAAGUUAAUACCUUUGCUCAUUGACGUUACCCGCAGAAGAAGCACCGGCUAACUACGUGCCAGCCGCCGCCGUAA